GCCUGAGUGGCUUAGUCGGUUGAGCAUCUGACUUCAGCUCAGGUCAUGAUCUCACAGUUCAGGAGUUUGAGCCCCAUGUCAGGCU
rfam:Felis catus isolate Cinnamon breed Abyssinian chromosome B1, whole genome shotgun sequence.